GAUCCUGGCUUAGGAUGAACGCUAGCUACAGGCUUAACACAUGCAAGUCGAGGGGCAGCGGGGAGUUAGCUUGCUAACUUGCCGGCGACCGGCGCACGGGUGAGUAACGCGUAUCCAACCUUCCCCUUAGUAGGGCAUAGCCCGGCGAAAGUCGGAUUAAUACCCUAUGUUAUCCGAAGAGGACAUCUGAAUUGGAUUAAAGAUUCAUCGCUAAGGGAUGGGGAUGCGUCUGAUUAGGUAGUAGGCGGGGUAACGGCCCACCUAGCCUACGAUCAGUAGGGGUUCUGAGGGGAAGGUCCCCCACACUGGUACUGAGACACGGACCAGACUCCUACGGGAGGCAGCAGUGAGGAAUAUUGGUCAAUGGGCGCGAGCCUGAACCAGCCAAGUAGCGUGCAAGGACGACUGCCCUAUGGGUUGUAAACUGCUUUUAUCAGGGAAUAAAGUGAGGCACGCGUGCCUUUUUGUAUGUACCUGAUGAAUAAGGACCGGCUAAUUCCGUGCCAGCCGCCGC
rnacentral:rRNA from 1 species